UACGAAGGGAGCUAGCGUUGUUCGGAAUCACUGGGCGUAAAGCGCACGUAGGCGGGUUGUUAAGUCAGGGGUGAAAUCCCGGAGCUCAACUCCGGAACUGCCUUUGAUACUGGCAAUCUAGAGACUGGAAGAGGUUAGUGGAAUUCCCAGUGUAGAGGUGAAAUUCGUAGAUAUUGGGAAGAACACCAGUGGCGAAGGCGGCUAACUGGUCCAGUACUGACGCUGAGGUGCGAAAGCGUGGGGAG
rnacentral:rRNA from 1 species